GCCGAGGUGGUGGAAUCUGGUAGACACGCUAUCUUGAGGGGGUAGUGGCCCACGGCCGUGCGGGUUCAAGUCCCGCCCUCGGCACCA
rnacentral:tRNA from 1 species